rnacentral:rRNA from 1 species
GAAGCGUGACGGUACUUGAGUGCUGUCGUAAGGAUAGCUUUUCCUCAGUGUAAGGAGCUGGGGGAAUAAAGGGGGGGCAAGUCUGGUGUCAGCCGCCGCGGUAAUACCAGCCCCCUGAGUGAUAGGGACAUCUAUUUAGCCUAAAGCGUCCGUAGCCGGCUUAGCAAGUCUUUCGUUAAAUCUGACGACUUAAUCGCCAGGCCGCGGAAGAUACUACUAGGCUAGAGGGCGGGAGAGGUUGACGGUAGUCCCGGGGUAGGGGUGAAAUCCUAUAAUCCCGGGAGGACCACCAGUGGCGAAGGCGGUCAACUAGAACGCGCCUGACGGUGAGGGACGAAAGCUGGGGGAGCGAACCGGAUUAGACACCUGGGUAGUCCCAGCUGUAAACGAUGCGGGCUAGGUGUUGGAGCAGCUACGAGCUGUUCCAGUGCCGCAGAGAAGUUGUUAAGCCCGCCGCUUGGGAAGUACGGCCGCAAGGCUGAAACUUAAAGGAAUUGGCGGGGGAGCACCACAAGGGGUGAAGCCUGCGGUUCAAUUGGAGUCAACGCCGGAAAACUUACUAGGGCUGACAGCAGAGUGAAGGCCAGACUAAAGAUCUUGCUAGACAAGCUGAGAGGUGGCGCAUGGCCGUCGACAGUUCGUGCCGUGAGGUGUCCUGUUAAGUCAGGCAACGAACGAGACCCUCACUGUUAGUUGCCAGCGGGUUCCAACGGAAUGCCGGGCACACUAAUGGGACUGCCACUGAUAAGGUGGAGGAAGGAGGGGGCCACGGCAGGUCAGUAUGCCCCGAAUGCCCUAGGCCACACGCGGGCUGCAAUGGUAGGGACAGAGGGUUCUGACCUCGAAAGGGGGAAGUAAUCCCUAAACCCUAUCGUAGUAGGAAUUGAGGGCUGAACCCGCCCUCAUGAAUCUGAAUCCCUAUAUCGCGCGUAUCUCGCCGACU